ACCUCACAGCGCGCUUCGGUGAGUCACCAUUGAGGACACUCCGCAAAGGACAAGCGAUAACAAAGGAAGGGAGCGAAGGAAAGGGACGCGCUCGCGUCCCUCUGGGUGUCCUUAAAUAUCCUCGUUUCUGUUUUUCACUCCAGGGCAUCGUUGUCGCCGAGCGGAGAACGGCUGCUGCCUCACCGACGUCUAGCACCACCGAGGGACAAGAAAAUACUGUACACAGACAAGCCUCACCGCACUCAGACCUCUACUUCAACUGGGGCCACACAGUGGAAGAACGCCAAGCUCACGCGCUGCGCCCGUGUGCAUGUGUUGGCGCGUGUAGCUCUUCUUCGCCUGCUAUUCACGGCUGCCUAUCCUCCACUGGAGCGCCUGCAGAAGGGCAGUACGUCGUGCACCAGCAAAGGCGCGGUUUGAAGAACGUCAUGAAGUUGUGCGGCGUGCGCAGCAGCGGUGUCUCUCUCACGCGGUCUUCUGAUUUUCCGCGUUUUCGGGCUGCCCACCAUGGUGGUGCACACACGGCAACGCGACAUCAAAGUCUCUGUGGACGGCGCCUCGACUCCUACAUGGGCGCUGGCAAAAGAUGGUGCUUUAGGCCCCUGCUUGCGGAGCCCCGAAGGUACAGCAACGCUUCUUCCGCUUUCACAACUGACGCUGCCACCGCGCCGGCGCAUGGGGAGGGCCUAUACGUGUCCCACUACGCCAUGCCAGAAGACGCACGUCGCCUUGUCGGGACACCGCAGUUGCUGCCACGGAACCCCGCAGAGGAGGUUGCCUUCAAGAAAAACCUAAUCAGGAGCUUCCCGCAGGCAUGCAUCCGCAACGUGAGUGUAGUGGCGCACGUGGACCACGGCAAGACGACGCUCUCCGACGCCAUGCUUCGUUUCUCGAAUCUUCUGCCGGCGGACGGGGCCACCGGCACCUUUACAGAUCGCCUCAAGGUGGAGAAAGAGCGUGGCAUCACCAUCAAAGCACAGACAUGCAGCGUGCUUCUCACGGUGCGUGAGACGGGCACACAGUAUCUCGUGAACCUGAUCGACACUCCGGGGCACGUAGACUUUCAGUACGAGGUAUCGCGUAGCCUCUGCGCCUCCGAGGGUGCAGCGCUGCUGGUGGACGUUCGGCAAGGCGUGGAGGCACAGACCAUGGCACAGUUUUAUGCGGCACUUGAACAAAAUCUCACCAUCUUGCCGGUGCUGACGAAGAUGGACAGUGUAAUGAGCGACGCUGAGGUGGAGAAGACGCUGCUGCAGCUGGAGGACAGCACCGGGCUGCUCAGCCGCGAAGUUAUUCUGACGAGCGCGAAGAGUAAGCAGGGUAUCGAGCAGCUCUUCCAGCACAUCAUUGACAAGGUGCCGCCCCCAUGUGGUCGUGAAGGCUUCUCUGACAUGAAGCAGCUUCCAGCCAUGCACCCUGGCAGUGCUGAUCGAAAGAAGGUGGAGAAAGAGCUGGUGCCGCUGCGCGCUCUGCUCUUCGACUGCUGGACUUCCGAGAGCAGUGGCAUGGCAGAUGGUGCUGCAUCAGCGCCGGUGAGCACGGCUUCCUCGGUCUCCUCGGGAACGGCCCCUGCCUCCGGCGGCCAAUCUGUGGCGAAGGACGGCAUCUACGGCCUCAUUCGUGUCAUGGAUGGCACCGUCACCCCAGGCACUACCGUCACCUUCUUCCACUCCGGAAAGAAGCACGAGGUGCGCGAGGUGGGCAUCAUCCAUCCCACUCUGCACCCAACCGCGGCCCUCACGGCUGGUAUGGUCGGCUUCGUGUUCUUCCCUGGCCUGCUCAAGAAAGACGUUUUCAUCGGCGACACCCUCUGUACACUGCCGACGCGAAAGCACACGAUGAGAGUGGUGGCGACAGGGCCCCCUGCGACCGCGUCACGCACGAAACCCGCCACGGCAGCAGAGACAGCGAGCAGCGACGACGCGAGCGGCAGUGGCAGCUCAUCUGUAGUAGAGCCGAUCCCUGGCUUCAAGACGGUGCAGCCCGUCGUCUUCGCUGGCUUCUACCCCGACGAAGGCGUCUACAUCACGCAACUGCGCGAGGCAGUGGAUCUCCUGUGCGUGAAUGACCCCUCCGUCACGGUGGAGCAGCUGCAGUGCCCAGCGCUCGGCCCCGGGCUGCAGCUGGGCUUUCUCGGCUUCCUUCACAUGCAGGUCUUCAAGGAGCGGCUGCUCAUGGAGUUUGGGCAGGCGGUGCUCGUCACGCCGCCGCAGGUGCAGUACAUGUACGUGGAGCAGCACGGCGACCCUGACGACCCGGCGCAGCGGAAGCCUGUCUCCGUCAGCAACUGGCGGUGGCCGCACGAAGGCGUCGGGGCGUACCUCGAGCCAUUCGUCACAGCAACGGUCCUGACGCCAAGCGAGUAUCUCAACGAGAUCAACAGCGCUGCGCUCAGCGCCUUUCGAGGCGAGAUGCAGGAGAUGCGCGUGAUCGACGGCGCCCGCACUUUGGUGCGGUAUCGUAUGCCAUUGGCAGACCUCGCCCGCGGCUUCUUCUCGACGGUAAAGAGCAGCUCGCACGGGUACGCGACGCUGGAGUACGACGAUCUUACCUACAUGACUGCCGACCUGGUGAAGAUGGACAUCGUCAUCAACAAGGCACACAUCUCCGCGCUGUCGACGAUUUGCCUGCGCCACGAAGCCAACACGCACGCCCGGCGCAUCAUCGGCUCCCUCAAGGAGAAACUGCUCCGCUCCUCCGUUGACCUGCCACUGCAGGCACUGGUGGGGAGCAAGAUCAUUGCCCGAGAGACCGUCAAGGCGUACCGCAAGGACGUCACCGCAAAGAUUCACGCCGGUGACAUUUCACGCAAGCAGAAGAAGUGGAAUGACCAGAAAAAGGGCAAGGAACGCAUGGCUCGCCGGAGUGUCGGCACCGUAACGCUGGACCAAAGCGUGCUCGCGGCUGCCUUGGGGGCAACCACUGCACGGUAGGAGGUGGAUAAGGUCAUGAAAGAGGAAACUGCGUGGCGCCUUUGUGUAUGUCUGCGAUGCGCCGUGCAGCAGAAUGAGGCGAGCACCUCUCGGUAUGCUUGCUCCCUCCUUUCUCUUCGCUUCUUCACACGCGUGCCGCAUCUCCCUUCCUUCUGUUUUUUUUUCUUGUCCGUUCUCACG
rnacentral:misc_RNA from 1 species